GCCCGGCUAGCGCAAUGGUAGCGCGUAAGACUUCUAUCAAUUCUCUCUCGAUCUUCAGUGUUGAUUGCCAUCUUAAGGCUGUGGGUUCGAGUCCCACGUCGGGUG
rnacentral:tRNA from 1 species